rnacentral:piRNA from 1 species
UGGCAAAUGGCAACAGUGUCUGAUUUGAAGA